AUGUCGCCGCCCCUCUUCUCCCCGCUCGCCUCGGCCGCCUCCUCUCCUCCGCCGUGUCGUCGGCCCCCUCCCUCCUCCUACCUCCUCCUCCCUCCUCUCAGUCCUAUGCCAGCCGCCGCCCAAACCCGAGCCCCCGUUUCCCUCGAUCCCCGCAGUAACCGCAUCCACAGCCACCCGCUCCUUCUCACAGCCGUCGCACCAUUCCUCCCUUCCGCCCCCUCCUCCUUCCCGGAUCCCCACCACGGUGCCGACCUGCAGGCAAAGGGCGAUGAAGAGUGGCAGACGAGGACAACGAGGGAGAGAAAGAAGGGAGAUAAAAAGGAGGCCGGCGGCGAGGCCCAUCACCGCCACCAGAUCCACCUCGCAAUCUCUCUUACUCCCCUGUCUGACUGUUGCAUGGUCGCGUCAGGCCCAUGUCGGCGCCGCCGCCACCGCUGGAUGGCUCUGUCGGUCCCUCCCGCUCCAAAUCGAAAACUGAGAGAGCGACGGGAGUGA
rnacentral:rRNA from 1 species